AAAAUGAAAACACACUUCUCCAGUGCCCUUAAGGGCUGGUGCUGGAGAUACGGUGCCCUGUCCUGGUGGAACCCACAGGUCAGUGGGAGGGGCCUGAGGGCAGAGCCAUGAAAGCUGUAAGGAAGGAAUGGGCAGAUCUCCAAGGGAGCAGGAGAGGCCACUUCUAACCCUGAAGAGCCAAACCACACGAAGCAGGUCCUGGGGCCUCAAUCCAUUUUUUGGUGGUGGUUGAAUCAUUAAUCUGCUCCAGCAGCAAGGCCUGGAAAAAGUUAACCACUAUUACUAUUCCUUUCCACGGUGCCACCAAGACGACCCUUUCAGAACUGUUCAGCAUUUUCCAUUGCUCUUGGGAUAGAACGGAUCUCUUACUGAACCUGGAGUUCGCUGAUCCAGGCUCGAAGGCUGAUGAGCUCAAGGGAUCAUCACCCUGUCUCCACCUCCUUGGCACUGGCACCAGAGUUACAGAUGCAUACUAUCGGCCUAUCGGCCUGGCUUUUACAUGGAUGCUGGGGAUCCAAGUCCUCACACUUGUUCAGCAGGCACUUUAGUAAGCUGUCCCCAGAACCUACUUAGUGACAGCUCACAACUGUCUGUAACUCCAAGAUCUGACACCCUCACACAGACAUACAUGCAGGCAAAAAAAACACCAAUGCACAUAAAAUAUAAAUAAUUUUUAAGAGUUUUUUGUUUUGUUUUGUUUGGCUUUAAAGAAAGGAAAGGUACAUGAAGGGUGCCAUGGAGUCCAGGCUCAAGGGCCAGGACUAAGAAUACAGCUCAGUGAUAGAGUGCUUACUUAGUGCUGUGGGAUAAUGCUCUUGUACACUGUAAAGAUUUGUCAUUCAAAUUGGUUUAAUAAAAUGCUGGUUGGCCAGUAGCCA